UUGAGCACGUCCUACCCAGAAGUCACCAGCUUCCAGGAGACAACGGCCUGAAGAGAGAGCCCCAGUCACCCCAGGGGAGGCAGGGAAGCAUCUACCUCUGGUUCUAUCUCUAGCAUCAUUCUUUCUCUCUGGGUCUCUGUGUUCUUAGGUCAGGGAUGGUGUCUCUCUUGCUAAUAGCCCUGUCUCCAGAGGCACACAGGCUUGGCACACACAGCGCCCGCGCACGUGGACGCUCCAAUUACAGCUCUAGAGGCUAGAAGUUGGCAGUCAGGAUGUGUGUAAGGCCACGCUCCCUCUGAAGGCUCCAGGGGAGGAUCUUUCCUUGCCUCCUCCAGCUUCUGGUGGCUGCCAGCAUCCUUGGCAUUCCUUGGCCUGUGGACACAUCACUCUAAUCUCUGCCCAUGGUCACAACCCCAAGCUCCAGAACAGACCAGCAGGCGAGGAGACAAGGAGGCAAGCAGAUGGAUGGCAGAACAAAGUGACAGAGAAAGAGAGAAGAGGAGAGAUGUCUGGACGCCAAGAGGAGUCGGGCUGGGGCCGGUCAGAGAAGAGUCCAACAGCUGGGCAGCCCGACUCCAGGGGAAGAUCACCUUCCCAUUUCAUCCCCCUUCAGGCUCCCCAUCCAUCUCACUAAGAGCCAUCUCUACCACUCAAUAAAACUUUGCACUCAUCCUUCAA
rnacentral:lncRNA from 1 species